rnacentral:sRNA from 1 species
CUGAGAACCCCUGAGACUGAAGCCCUCUGUUUAUCAACAGAAAUCAUAUAGCAUGAGCAGCAGUAAUCUAAGUUUCCCCACACUGUGCUACCAAUGUUUCUCAACCAUCUCCUGGAAGAUCCACUUCUAAGGCUAAGGGGGAACUUCAGUCCACGGGGCUUAGUCAGUCAUUGGCCUUU